CCCACCGAAGAAGAAGACGAAUCAAAACCCAGAAGUGAAAUGUAAGGGAUCUUUGAAGAAGGCCCCAGCCUCUGUCUCCAGCAUUCCCGAACUCUUACACUUGACUGGCUUCUUGGAACAGAACAGCUUUAAAGAGCCAUGGUGGCCUAAAGAGACCGAACAAGCUCAUAGAAGGACGAUACCUAAUUAGCAGGGUUGAAUGGCCACGGUGACACUGUGAAUACAACUGUUUAACUGAAUACAUCAUCACCAUUCUGAGUGCUGCCCUCUCCCCAGACAGAGAGACAAUAGCACAGUGUUUAACAAACUAGCACUUAUUAUGCUAUUGUUGUCUGUGUUCCAAACCAUGUCAUCACUAUUGUCUGUGUUCUAAUCUCCUCAUCACUAUUGUUGUCUGUGUUCCAAACCAUGUCAUCACUAUUGUCUGUGUUCUAAUCCCGUCAUCACUAUUGUUGUCUGUAUUCCAAAUCCUGUCAUCACUAUUGCUGGUCUUUGGUGAAAAUAAAUCUGUGUAAA